GCCCCGCCCCCAGCCGCGGCCGCGCCAGGGGCGGCGCGCGGGUUCCUGUCAGGACACGGCGGGCGGGGCGCGGCGGUUGGUGGCGGGGUGGGCGCGUGCUGGGGCAGGGGCCGCGCCCCGCCGCCCCCCUCCGCCAUGUUGUGCUGCGCCGGGGCCGGUGCCGGCGGCAGGUUCCUUAGAUGAGAUAAAUGCGUUCCCAGCUUAUCUGGCAAAUGGAAGGAUGUGUGAUCGUAUUUGAGCUUUCCAUGGGAGGCAGAUGCAGAACCUUUGAAAUACACUGAUGCAAGAUAAACCACUCAAUGAGGGAUGUAAACUGCUGUAAAGACGUCCACAGAGCAAUUUUACAAUGAUUUACUCCAAUCAACUUCUCCAUUUACCUGUGGUAAACGAGUGUGAUAUACUUACACCCUUGAGUAGGCCUGAUAGCGCUGAUGCUGCAGGUAUGUCUCUGCAGCCAAACCGUGCCAUACACAGGUACUCAAAGUGACUCAAAUACUGGAAGCAGUAUAACUGUGUUGCCGUGGUAAACCCACAGGGUUAAAAUGUGCUUCUGCUUAGUAGGACCCAUUAGCUGCAAGAAGUUUUGAUGCUUCUGGUUCCUAUCCUAGUUUGGCUCUGUGCUGGGUUUGUAGGCAUACACAGAAAGCAGGUAUGGACAGAGUCAGUCUGAGGCAGCUAGUCAGUAAAACUGUUCUAGACCAUGAGAAAAAAAUACAAAAAUUAUCAAUUUACCAGUGGCAAGAAGAAAUGGAAGAGGAAUUUUGCAUCUUAAAAAAGCAGUGAAUGGAUUGGGGAAAAUUUGUAUUCAAGGCAGAGAAUACUGAGCAAUUAUUUUCAUGAGAAACUUGAAAACUGAGACUCAUAUUUUACUCUCACAGGGCACAGUGCCACUGGAGUGAACUAAUGUCUAUAUGCACUUGAUACCAUUCGACACUUAAGCUUUUAUCUUGUCCUAUUCAAAAACAUACAGGUGGCUAAAUAUGUGGCCUUCAAAGGAAGGGCAUAGGAAAAACUGCGACAAGAGAAAGUAUGCUUAAGAUAUGACAGGAAGUGGACUGUUACAAUUUUAUAAAAUGAAGGUUUAAAUAGCUGGAUUUGGAAAAAGUGAAAAGGAGAGUGACAGUAACUUAAAGGAACAGGUGAAAACAGGAUGAAUACAAUUUUAGCUAUGAAUGAUAGCAAGUGUAUUUAAGACAGUGUUUAAUGUGCUCACCCAUCCAAUCAGCCUUCCUUCCUUUAGAGGCAAAAAUUAAGUUUUCCUUAAAGCCGAGGUGAUACUAAUGUGUAUACAAAUAUCAGAUUAUUCUGUAACCCUGAUGUCUCUCAAUAUUGGCUGCUUCUGAUAACACAUAUUUAUUGAUUAUGUCCUCAAAAUAUCAUUUAAGGAUAUCACUUAAACAGUUGCCGACAGUAAUCAGAUUCUGGUCUUAUUUUCACUAGCUUAAAUCAGGGAUAAUUACAUCACACUCAUUAAGUCAAACUUACGGAAGCAAAAGAAGAGAAUGGUAGAUGCUUAAAAGUUCAUGUCUCCCGUGCUGAGUUAAAAGUGCAGUACUUGUGAUUUUCACAAACUCCCCAAGGACCCGGGCUACAUCUUAAACUUUGUCUGCUUAACAAUGGCUGACAGGAAGACGUAAUUCCAUCUACCCCAGUGAAACAUUCCAGGCUGCUUUAAAGAAUAAUUCUAUCUUUGCCCACCUUCUUCAUACUUAUGUUUUUGAUUCCUCUUUUACAGUAAUAAUGAGUGAGCAGACCAGCAGCCUAGAACAAAUACAUGGGUUGUUUUUCUGAACCUGUCACUACAUUGUGAUACUGAAUAAAUGAGAAAUGCUUCAGUUUUCCCA